rnacentral:rRNA from 1 species
GACGAACGCUGGCGGCGUGCUUAACACAUGCAAGUCGAACGGAAAGGCCCUGCUUUUGUGGGGUGCUCGAGUGGCGAACGGGUGAGUAACACGUGAGUAACCUGCCCUUGACUUUGGGAUAACUUCAGGAAACUGGGGCUAAUACCGGAUCGGAGCUCCUGCUGCAUGGUGGGGGUUGGAAAGUUUCGGCGGUUGGGGAUGGGCUCGCGGCUUAUCAGCUUGUUGGUGGGGUAGUGGCUUACCAAGGCUUUGACGGGUAGCCGGCCUGAGAGGGUGACCGGCGACAUUGGGACUGAGAUACGGCCCAGACUCCUACGGGAGGCAGCAGUGGGGAAUAUUGCACGAUGGGCGGAAGCCUGAUGCAGCCACGCCGCGUGCGGGAGGACGGCCUUCGGGUUGUAAACCGCUUUCGCCUGUGACGAAGCGUGAGUGACGGUAAUGGGUAAAGAAGCACCGGCUAACUACGUG